GACGAACGCUGGCGGCGUGCUUAACACAUGCAAGUCGAACGGAAAGGCCCUGCUUUUGUGGGGUGCUCGAGUGGCGAACGGGUGAGUAACACGUGAGUAACCUGCCCUUGACUUUGGGAUAACUUCAGGAAACUGGGGCUAAUACCGGAUAGGAGCUCCUGCUGCAUGGUGGGGGUUGGAAAGUUUCGGCGGUUGGGGAUGGACUGGCGGCUUAUCAGCUUGUUGGUGGGGUAGUGGCUUACCAAGGCUUUGACGGGUAGCCGGCCUGAGAGGGUGACCGGCCACAUUGGGACUGAGAUACGGCCCAGACUCCUACGGGAGGCAGCGGUGGGGAAUAUUGCACAAUGGGCGGAAGCCUGAUGCAGCAACGCCGCGUGCGGGAUGACGGCCUUCGGGUUGUAAACCGCUUUCGCCUGUGACGAAGCGUGAGUGACGGUAAUGGGUAAAGAAGCACCGGCUAACUACGUG
rnacentral:rRNA from 1 species